UACACCUGAACCACACAGGCCCGUAAGGAGAACCAACCGUUUAGAACCGGUUAUCUCCGAACCGUUCUCAGGCCUACUCCUGGCCGGAACCCUCCCACCUCGAUCCAUUCUGCGGACCGCCGCCAGCUCUCCUUGCGUGCUGACGAGGCUCAUCCACCUCUGUUCUCGCGCGCGGCCGCUACUCUUUUGCUGUGCCCCCUAUCUCGCCCUCCACGCUCUCCUUGCGGCCUGCCUCCCCACGGACCUCGCCAGCCCUGUUUCCGUUCUGAAUCGGGGCCGGCGAGCACUCCGCCGUUGGCGCAAGAGGGGUCGCCGCCGCCCGCCUCAAUUCGCCGACGCCCUGCAGUGGAGAAGGAUCUCCACGACCUCCUGCGGCCUAGACCACAACUACGGGUGGAGCUCUGACGGGACAUCCGACGAUGUUGUUGCUGGCGGUGCCGCCGCCUCCAUGUCGCCCCCUCCUCGGCUCCCUGGUCUGCCUGCUCGACCAGAAUCCGGCCAGAAUCAGGCCCGGGCAAGAGGCAGUUCAUGGCGACACACGGCCGCGGGCCGGACUCAGGCCCGGGCAAGCGACAGUUCAUGGCGACACACGGCCGCGGGCCGGAAUCAGGCCCGGGCGAGCAGCGGUUCAUUGUGACGCGCGGUCGCGCAAGCAGGCGCAGGGCGGCGUGCGGGCGCACACGGCGGAGCUCGGCGAUACGUCUGCGAUGGGAUGUAGAGCCAUGGGAUGGAGGUCAUGAGGAAGAAGUAGAUCGGAAAAAAAACAUUGGAUCAUUGACAGAAGGGACCCAUAUUUCAGUGGAGUGGAGGAAAAAAAAAACUCGUCCACCUCUGUGUCACACACAGUAGGUGUUCGUUCUAUUGCCUGCAUGAUCCCACCAGAAGGUGUUUGGCUAGGUUGGAGAGCAGGUGUCAGUGUCAAAUAGGAGGUAUUGUUUUCGUAAUUUGUGCUCAUAUUAGAUGAGGAUUGCUAUAAGCAAAUUUCGAUUUCAUUUUUAUUCAUGUAACCUCCUUUACCCAUUGUACGUGUAUUCCGUUGCAAGCAGCAUAUUAUUAUUAUUAUUAUUAUUA